rnacentral:rRNA from 1 species
UACGGAGGGUGCGAGCGUUGUCCGGAAUCACUGGGCGUAAAGGGCGCGUAGGCGGCGCGGGAAGUCAUCGGUGAAAGUUCAGGGCUCAACUCUGAAUCGGCCCGGUGAUACUCUCGUGCUUGAGCACUGUAGAGGCGAGGUGGAAUUCCGGGUGUAGCGGUGGAAUGCGUAGAGAUCCGGAAGAACACCGGUGGCGAAGGCGGCCUGCUGGGCAGUAGCUGACGCUGAUGCGCGACAGCGUGGGGAG